GUCAUCGGGGAACAGGAGGAAAGUAUCGGUAAAGGAAUCACACCAAUAAAGCAUCGAAUACGUCGGUUCUUGCCGUGUUAUCGGUGUAAUCGGCCGCGCCACUUUCACUAAUGCACCGUUUACAACAGACGAGUUACGUUCACGUCGCGCUGUUACCCUGCUUUCGUCUUUCUUGCUUACGAGGGUAUCGUGUAACGCAUCUUCCUGUGAACCGGGUCGACGAUGAUCCACGCGGCGCGUAACGCGUUAAUAAACAAUUUAACGGUGCGGUUAGGUAUAACCGUGGAGUUAUAAGGGGUCCCUUUCCUGAAAAAAGCAACGGGCGAAGAGGCGAGCACCAGGAAACC
rnacentral:misc_RNA from 1 species